rnacentral:rRNA from 1 species
CCUACGGGGCGCUGCAGUGGGGAAUAUUGGACAAUGGGCGAAAGCCUGAUCCAGCCAUGCCGCGUGUGUGAAGAAGGCCUUCGGGUUGUAAAGCACUUUCAGUGGGGAAGAAAGCCUUGGGGCUAAUACCCUCGAGGAAGGACAUCACCCACAGAAGAAGCACCGGCUAACUCCGGGCCAGCAGCCGCGGUAAUACGGAGGGUGCGAGCGUUAAUCGGAAUUACUGGGCGUAAAGCGCGCGUAGGCGGUCUGAUAAGCCGGUUGUGAAAGCCCCGGGCUCAACCUGGGAACGGCAUCCGGAACUGUCAGGCUAGAGUGCAGGAGAGGAAGGUAGAAUUCCCGGUGUAGCGGUGAAAUGCGUAGAGAUCGGGAGGAAUACCAGUGGCGAAGGCGGCCUUCUGGACUGACACUGACGCUGAGGUGCGAAAGCGUGGGUAGCAAACAGGAUUAGAUACCCCAGUAGUC